rnacentral:rRNA from 1 species
UGAGUUUACGCUCUAUAACCCUUUGUGAACAUACCUAUAACUGUUGCUUCGGCGGGUAGGGUCUCCGCGACCCUCCCGGCCUCCCGCCUCCGGGCGGGUCGGCGCCCGCCGGAGGAUAACCAAACUCUGAUUUAACGACGUUUCUUCUGAGUGGUACAAGCAAAUAAUCAAAACUUUUAACAACGGAUCUCUUGGUUCUGGCAUCGAUGAAGAACGCAGCGAAAUGCGAUAAGUAAUGUGAAUUGCAGAAUUCAGUGAAUCAUCGAAUCUUUGAACGCACAUUGCGCCCGCCAGCAUUCUGGCGGGCAUGCCUGUUCGAGCGUCAUUUCAACCCUCAAGCUCUGCUUGGUGUUGGGGCCCUACAGCUGAUGUAGGCCCUCAAAGGUAGUGGCGGACCCUCCCGGAGCCUCCUUUGCGUAGUAACUUUACGUCUCGCACUGGGAUCCGGAGGGACUCUUGCCGUAAAACCCCCCAAUUUUCCAAAGGUUGACCUCGGAUCAGGUAGGAAUACCCGCUGAACUUAAGCAUAUCAAUAAGCGGAGGAAAAGAAACCAACAGGGAUUGCCUCAGUAACGGCGAGUGAAGCGGCAACAGCUCAAAUUUGAAAUCUGGCCCUAGGCCCGAGUUGUAAUUUGCAGAGGAUGCUUUUGGUGCGGUGCCUUCCAAGUUCCCUAGAACGGGACGCCAGAGAGGGUGAGAGCCCCGUACAGUUGGACACCAAGCCUUUGUAAAGCUCCUUCGACGAGUCGAGUAGUUUGGGAAUGCUGCUCAAAAUGGGAGGUAUAUUUCUUCUAAAGCUAAAUACCGGCCAGAGACCGAUAGCGCACAAGUAGAGUGAUCGAAAGAUGAAAAGCACUUUGAAAAGAGGGUUAAACAGCACGUGAAAUUGUUAAAAGGGAAGCGCUUGUGACCAGACUUGCGUCCGGUGAAUCACCCAGCUCUCGCGGCUGGGGCACUUCGCCGGCUCAGGCCAGCAUCAGCUCGCUGUCGGGGACAAAAGCUUCAGGAACGUAGCUCUCUUCGGGGAGUGUUAUAGCCUGUUGCACAAUACCCUUCGGCGGGCUGAGGUACGC